rnacentral:lncRNA from 1 species
CUGGAAUGUUCACCUUUGAGUUUGUUGGCUGUGUUGCUGGGGAAAUGACUUGGUCCACUAUCCAAGGAACCUACUAUCUUUUCAGAAUGAUCUCUCCUCAUUAAAAUAAAAGCUACCAGCCAAACCCUUGAGAACAAUGCCAUCUAACACUUGAAAAUGCUGCUGGGUGGACAAGACUCAUUCUUCAGCUCCGGGCACAUCCCUCAACACACAGCCUCACUCCUACUUUCAAACAGAUCAACAGAAGAAUUAUAUGGAGGAGUCUUUUAUGUACCUGGAGUUGGAUUUCUAAUUUGGGAACACCUACAAUUACCAAAGCCUCUCCAGUUUCUGAAAACUCUCCUGGGAGUUUGGAGAAUACUGCAA